GGGUUGUGAGGUUAAGCGACUAAGCGUACACGGUGGAUGCCCUGGCAGUCAGAGGCGAUGAAGGACGUGCUAAUCUGCGAUAAGCGUCGGUAAGGUGAUAUGAACCGUUAUAACCGGCGAUUUCCGAAUGGGGAAACCCAGUGUGAUUCGUCACACUAUCAUUAACUGAAUCCAUAGGUUAAUGAGGCGAACCGGGGGAACUGAAACAUCUAAGUACCCCGAGGAAAAGAAAUCAACCGAGAUUCCCCCAGUAGCGGCGAGCGAACGGGGAGCAGCCCAGAGCCUGAAUCAGUGUGUGUGUUAGUGGAAGCGUCUGGAAAGGCGUGCGAUACAGGGUGACAGCCCCGUACACAAAAAUGCACAUAUUGUGAGCUCGAUGAGUAGGGCGGGACACGUGGUAUCCUGUCUGAAUAUGGGGGGACCAUCCUCCAAGGCUAAAUACUCCUGACUGACCGAUAGUGAACCAGUACCGUGAGGGAAAGGCGAAAAGAACCCCGGCGAGGGGAGUGAAAAAGAACCUGAAACCGUGUACGUACAAGCAGUGGGAGCACGCUUAGGCGUGUGACUGCGUACCUUUUGUAUAAUGGGUCAGCGACUUAUAUUCUGUAGCAAGGUUAACCGAAUAGGGGAGCCGAAGGGAAACCGAGUCUUAACUGGGCGUUAAGUUGCAGGGUAUAGACCCGAAACCCGGUGAUCUAGCCAUGGGCAGGUUGAAGGUUGGGUAACACUAACUGGAGGACCGAACCGACUAAUGUUGAAAAAUUAGCGGAUGACUUGUGGCUGGGGGUGAAAGGCCAAUCAAACCGGGAGAUAGCUGGUUCUCCCCGAAAGCUAUUUAGGUAGCGCCUCGUGAAUUCAUCUCCGGGGGUAGAGCACUGUUUCGGCAAGGGGGUCAUCCCGACUUACCAACCCGAUGCAAACUGCGAAUACCGGAGAAUGUUAUCACGGGAGACACACGGCGGGUGCUAACGUCCGUCGUGAAGAGGGAAACAACCCAGACCGCCAGCUAAGGUCCCAAAGUCAUGGUUAAGUGGGAAACGAUGUGGGAAGGCCCAGACAGCCAGGAUGUUGGCUUAGAAGCAGCCAUCAUUUAAAGAAAGCGUAAUAGCUCACUGGUCGAGUCGGCCUGCGCGGAAGAUGUAACGGGGCUAAACCAUGCACCGAAGCUGCGGCAGCGACGCUUAUGCGUUGUUGGGUAGGGGAGCGUUCUGUAAGCCUGCGAAGGUGUGCUGUGAGGCAUGCUGGAGGUAUCAGAAGUGCGAAUGCUGACAUAAGUAACGAUAAAGCGGGUGAAAAGCCCGCUCGCCGGAAGACCAAGGGUUCCUGUCCAACGUUAAUCGGGGCAGGGUGAGUCGACCCCUAAGGCGAGGCCGAAAGGCGUAGUCGAUGGGAAACAGGUUAAUAUUCCUGUACUUGGUGUUACUGCGAAGGGGGGACGGAGAAGGCUAUGUUGGCCGGGCGACGGUUGUCCCGGUUUAAGCGUGUAGGCUGGUUUUCCAGGCAAAUCCGGAAAAUCAAGGCUGAGGCGUGAUGACGAGGCACUACGGUGCUGAAGCAACAAAUGCCCUGCUUCCAGGAAAAGCCUCUAAGCAUCAGGUAACAUCAAAUCGUACCCCAAACCGACACAGGUGGUCAGGUAGAGAAUACCAAGGCGCUUGAGAGAACUCGGGUGAAGGAACUAGGCAAAAUGGUGCCGUAACUUCGGGAGAAGGCACGCUGAUAUGUAGGUGAAGUCCCUCGCGGAUGGAGCUGAAAUCAGUCGAAGAUACCAGCUGGCUGCAACUGUUUAUUAAAAACACAGCACUGUGCAAACACGAAAGUGGACGUAUACGGUGUGACGCCUGCCCGGUGCCGGAAGGUUAAUUGAUGGGGUUAGCGCAAGCGAAGCUCUUGAUCGAAGCCCCGGUAAACGGCGGCCGUAACUAUAACGGUCCUAAGGUAGCGAAAUUCCUUGUCGGGUAAGUUCCGACCUGCACGAAUGGCGUAAUGAUGGCCAGGCUGUCUCCACCCGAGACUCAGUGAAAUUGAACUCGCUGUGAAGAUGCAGUGUACCCGCGGCAAGACGGAAAGACCCCGUGAACCUUUACUAUAGCUUGACACUGAACAUUGAGCCUUGAUGUGUAGGAUAGGUGGGAGGCUUUGAAGUGUGGACGCCAGUCUGCAUGGAGCCGACCUUGAAAUACCACCCUUUAAUGUUUGAUGUUCUAACGUUGACCCGUAAUCCGGGUUGCGGACAGUGUCUGGUGGGUAGUUUGACUGGGGCGGUCUCCUCCUAAAGAGUAACGGAGGAGCACGAAGGUUGGCUAAUCCUGGUCGGACAUCAGGAGGUUAGUGCAAUGGCAUAAGCCAGCUUGACUGCGAGCGUGACGGCGCGAGCAGGUGCGAAAGCAGGUCAUAGUGAUCCGGUGGUUCUGAAUGGAAGGGCCAUCGCUCAACGGAUAAAAGGUACUCCGGGGAUAACAGGCUGAUACCGCCCAAGAGUUCAUAUCGACGGCGGUGUUUGGCACCUCGAUGUCGGCUCAUCACAUCCUGGGGCUGAAGUAGGUCCCAAGGGUAUGGCUGUUCGCCAUUUAAAGUGGUACGCGAGCUGGGUUUAGAACGUCGUGAGACAGUUCGGUCCCUAUCUGCCGUGGGCGCUGGAGAACUGAGGGGGGCUGCUCCUAGUACGAGAGGACCGGAGUGGACGCAUCACUGGUGUUCGGGUUGUCAUGCCAAUGGCACUGCCCGGUAGCUAAAUGCGGAAGAGAUAAGUGCUGAAAGCAUCUAAGCACGAAACUUGCCCCGAGAUGAGUUCUCCCUGACUCCUUGAGAGUCCUGAAGGAACGUUGAAGACGACGACGUUGAUAGGCCGGGUGUGUAAGCGCAGCGAUGCGUUGAGCUAACCGGUACUAAUGAACCGUGAGGCUUAACCUUACAACGCCGAAG
rnacentral:rRNA from 1 species